CAUAAUCAUAUAAGCCAGAUAGCCCUAUCACAUGCAUGCCAGUAUGUCAGUCACCAGUCAAAAGAGGGUGUCUUGUCCUGCCCCUGCAUUCAUACCAAUCAUCAGCAACAGAGCAUUGGGGAAUUUUUUCUUCAAUUCGCAAGUGGCUGAAUGGAUCUCACAGGAGAAAGCAUCCGAGUGAGCGAAACUACACCCCUCUGUCUCUCUACAUGUAGGCCAUCUAUCUGAUGCUGUCUGGUCCAAACGAGUAUAACAUUGUUGCCACCCAUAGCAUUGAAGGCAAGGGAAGCCAGCAAGCAUCUGGCCUCCCUUGACAAAAAAAAGUUUUAAAAAAUUUGCCAAUCAGCGUUGAGCUAAAUUGAGCAAGCUCCACUGUGAUUCGUCCUGGCGC
rnacentral:lncRNA from 1 species